GUUUCAAGUGAUGAUAAAAUAGACAGGGACAUCAGUACUCAUUUCGAGGAUGUUGACACGUCUUUGGGAAUCUCUCUGAUGAUUU